rfam:Acyrthosiphon pisum strain LSR1 Contig31890, whole genome shotgun sequence.
AUACUUACUUGGUGUCGAGGUCAACCGUGAUCAGCGCGGCGGUUCCUCCAGGAUGAGACUUUCCCAUUGCACACUGGGGACGGUUGAACCCUGCGAGUAUCCCUUAUGCGGAUAUCUCGGACACGUAAUUUUUGGUAGCGGGACUGCGUUCGCGCCGUCCCUC